rnacentral:rRNA from 1 species
UACGGAGGGUGCAAGCGUUGUCCGGAUUUAUUGGGUUUAAAGGGUGCGUAGGCGGCCCGUUAAGUCAGUGGUGAAAGCCUCCAGCUCAACUGGAGAACUGCCAUUGAUACUGGCGGGCUUGAGUACAGACGAGGUAGGCGGAAUUGAUUGUGUAGCGGUGAAAUGCAUAGAUACAAUCAAGAACACCGAUUGCGUAGGCAGCUUACUAGGCUGUAACUGACGCUGAGGCACGAAAGUGUGGGGAUCAAACAGG